CAUUCGGUCAAGAUGUAAAAUGCAUUUCUCACCGUAGGCCCCUUGGACGAGGUCACAGUGGUGGUGAUGGAAGGGCCCUGCAGACCGUGAGAGAACGAGGUCAAGGUCAGAACUGAUUCCUGGAAAGGCUGACUUCUGAGGACUCGGGCUUGGAGGAGCCUGAGGAAAAGAAGGCAGGGGUCCUUGCAGCCCCCAUCCCCAGGCUGUGCCUUGUGGACGAUGACUCACAGCUGGACUGAAUGAUCCAGAAAGACCCAGAUCAGCUCAGAGGUGGCCCAGACAGGAAAAUGAGACGCAAAGAGCAUAAAUGCUGAAGGAGAGAGAGAGGAGUUAGAAGGAGGACAGCCAUGUUCUUCCUGGACGGGGCUGAAUGGUGGCCUCCGAAAAGGGCUUGUGGUGCUUUGUUACGGCAGCCACAGGAAACUAAUACACACUCGUUUCUUCGGGGGAUUGUCAUGGAACCGGUAAAUCUGGCUACACGGCAAAUGAACCGAAGCAGAACGAUGGUGAGCGGUCAGCAUGAUCAUGCUUUUCAGGCUGUCCUGUUUCCUCCCCUUGGAGCCCCCUAUGGAGCACAUGCUGUUAUUAUCCUGACUUCACAGGCAAACAAACUAAGGCAAUGCUGUAGGUAACUCGCCAAGGUCACCGGCGGGCAGGUGGGAGUGCCCUAAGCGGCAGCCUUCCUAGGCCCCCGACGUCAGGUGACCGGAAGAGCGUGAGGUCUAUUGGCCGAGCAGCAGCAGGAGGUUGGGCACUGAACCAAAAACGGGAGGACGAAAGCGUGUCACCUUAACCCUGUGAAGGGCCCGCCUUCUCCCCUGGGCCAGAAUUGUCCAGAGGAAGCCAUGGCACGCCCACCUGACCAAAUGGUGUGCACCCAUCGAAGACGGCCUUCUGAAGCCUGUAGCAUCAUGGGAAAGGAUGACGUCGCCAAGCGAACAACGCUCCCUGCAGAAUUGCCUCUGUGCAGGGUCGCCCCCCUGGCAGUGUGACGUGUGCACGUGGGUGUAGCUGGAGGGGACUCUUGAGCCACGUGGCUCUCCACACCGUCUCUGGUCAGAUGUCCUUGCCUUUACGCAUGCCCAAGUUGAUGGCCCGGGGCUGGUCACCUGGCCCCAGGUUCGCCAGCCAGCGGUUCCCUUAGGAAUACAGAGUAGUGAUUCCUCGGGUGCCUGGAGCUUGGGUGCUGUGCACUCACGCGAGGGAGCUGUGGGUCGCUUACGCUGCUCAAAAGGACUGAAGCCAUCAGAGAAGCUGCUGUGCAGAGACAGAGACUGAGAGAGAAUCAGGAAGCAGAUGUACAGAGAGGAAGAGACAGUCACAGGCUGAAAGAAGAAAACCAGCCACCAUGCUUGCUGUUGAGAAACCCCAGCCCUGGGGGAUGGCCCAGUCUGCGGCUGAAUGUUCU